CCUACGGGAGGCAGCAGUGGGGGAUAUUGGACAAUGGGGGAAACCCUGACCCAGCGACGCCGCGUGAGUGAAGAAGUAUUUCGGUAUGUAAAGCUCUAUCAGCAGGGAAGAAAGAAAUGACGGUACCUUAGUAAGAAGCUCCGGCUAACUACGUGCCAGCAGCCGCGGUAAUACGUAGGGGGCAAGCGUUAUCCGGAAUUAUUGGGUGCAAAGGGAGCGUAGACGGGAAUGCAAGCCUGGAGUGAAAGGCAGGGGCCCAACCGCCGGACUGCACUGGAAACUGGGUAACUGGAGUGCAGAAGAGGCAGGCGGAAUUCCUAGUGUAGCGGUGAAAUGCGUAGAUAUUAGGAGGAACACCAGUGGCGAAGGCGGCCUGCUGGACUGUAACUGACGUUGAGGCUCGAAAGCGUGGGGAGCAAACAGGAUUAGAUACCCCUGUAGUC
rnacentral:rRNA from 1 species